GUGCCAGCAGCCGCGGUAAUACGGAGGGUGCAAGCGUUAUCCGGAUUCACUGGGUUUAAAGGGUGCGUAGGCGGGUAUGUAAGUCAGCGGUGAAAUCCCCGAGCUUAACUUGGGAACUGCCGNUGAUACUAUAUAUCUUGAAAUGUCGUGGAGGUUAGCGGAAUAUGUCAUGUAGCGGUGAAAUGCUUAGAUAUGAUAUAGAACACCCAUUGCGAAGGCAGNUAACUACGCGAAUAUUGACGCUGAGGCACGAAAGCGUGGGGAUCAAAC
rnacentral:rRNA from 1 species